AGGAUGAACGCUGGCGGCGUGCCUAAUACAUGCAAGUCGAACGAGAGUGCUUGCACUCGAGUGGCGAACGGGUGAGUAACACGUAGGUAACCUGCCUCACAGUUUGGGAUACCCAGAGGAAACUUUGGCUAAUACCGGAUAAUUAGUUGGAAGGCAUCUUCCGACUCUAAAAGGGGCCUUUAAAGCCUCGCUGAGAGAUGGACCUGCGGCGCAUUAGCUAGUUGGUGAGAUAACAGCCCACCAAGGCGAGGAUGCGUAGCCGACCUGAGAGGGUGAACGGCCACACUGGAACUGAGACACGGUCCAGACUCCUACGGGAGGCAGCAGUAGGGAGUUUUUGCGCAAUGGGGGCAACCCUGAACCGCAGCAACGCCGCGUGUGGGAAGAAGGUCUUCGGAUUGUAAACCAUUGUCUUCGGUGACGAUAAUGACGGUAGCCGAGGAGGAAGCUCCGGCUAACUACGUGCCAGCCGCCGC
rnacentral:rRNA from 1 species